CUUGAUUCUAUCUUUUUGGCCUGAAAUGCAAAGCAAUCCAUAUUUGUAGAAUCCUAAAUUUCUACACCCCAUGACGUGUGAGCUCUUAUCCCCCAUUACCAUAGCUUUGACAUAAAGUCCCCAGCAAUUGACAUUCUUUCUUCUGUCUCAACAACCUACUCUCUCACAUUAUCCGGUAUGGAGGAUCAAACUGAAAAGAGGGCUUUCGACAUGGGAGCCUUGAGGAGCAACCUUCCCCAAAAGCGAGGGUUGUCGAGGUAUUACUCGGGAAAAGCAAGAUCAUUCGCGUGCAUUGCAGAUGUUCGUUGCGUCGAGGAUCUCAAGAAACAAGAACAUCCCGACGCGAAGAAAAGGAAGAAGUAUUCAAAUAAGAAGGAGAUGCAGCUUUACACUCCUCAUCCAUGUCGUAGAGUAUCCAGUUGCACUCAUUGCGCUGCGCCUUGCAUUGGCGUGUAAAUAUAUCUGCUAUCCGAUUGUGAACAUGAAUUCAAUUUACUUUAAUCAAAAACAAAGAGAGUUUUCAGUUUCGCAUUAUAUCCAUCUGCAGAAUGCAAGAAUUGCAUAAUAAUAGUAACAAUUAAGAAUUACCUUUCUUCUUGA
rnacentral:sRNA from 10 species